rnacentral:rRNA from 1 species
CGGUAAUUCCAGCUCCAAUAGCGUAUACUAAAGUUGUUGCAGUUAAAAAGCUCGUAGUUGGAUUUCUGCGGGGGCGGGGCGGCCGAUCGCCACUGGCGAGCCGAGCUAGCACUUCCCCCGCAUCCUGCCGCGAACCGUGCUACCAUUAGCUUGGUGGCGCCGGGGAUCGGCUCGUUUACUUUGAGAAAAAUAGAGUGUUCAAAGCAGGCCACACGCCUUGAAUAAGUUAGCAUGGAAUAAUGAUAAAGGACUUCGGUUCUAUUUUGUUGGUGUUCGGGACCGAAGUAAUGAUUGAUAGGGACAGUUGGGGCGGUCCGUAUUCCAAAGCGAGAGGUGAAAUUCUUAGACCUUCGGAAGACGAACAGCUGCGAAAGCGUUCCGCAAGGAUGUUCCCUUUGAUCAAGAACGAAAGUUGGGGGAUCGAAGACGAUCAGAUACCGUCGUAGUCUCAACUAUAAACUAUACCAGCUAGGGAUCGGUCAACGUUUAAUCAUUCGACUUGAUCGGCACCUUAUGAGAAAUCAAAGCAUCUGGGUUCCGGGGGGAGUAUGGUCGCAAGGCUGAAACUUAAAGGAAUUGACGGAAGGGCACCACCAGCCGUGGAGCCUGUGGCUUAAUUUGACUCAACACGGGAAAACUUACCAGGUCCAGACAUAGUAAGGAUUGACAGAUUGAUAGCUCUUUCUUGAUUCUGUGGGUGGUGGUGCAUGGCCGUUCUUAGUUGGUGGAGUGAUUUGUCUGGUUAAUUCCGUUAACGAACGAGACCCCAGCCUGCUAAAUAGCGCGGCUGAGCUUUGCUCGGUGCGAGCUUCUUAGAGGGACUAUGAUGCGCGAUAGCACAUGGAAGUUUGGGGCAAUAACAGGUCUGUGAUGCCCUUAGAUGUUCUGGGCCGCACACGGGCUACACUGGCGCCUGCAACGAGCAUAUCAGCUGGCCCGAGAGGGUCUUGGCUAAUCUUUUGGACCGGCGCCGUGCUUGGGAUUGACCAUUGCAAUUGUUGGUCAUGCAACGAGGAAUGCCUUGUAAACGCGAGUCAUCAGCUCGCAUUGAAUACGUCCCUGCCCCUUGUACACACCGCCC